ensembl:lncRNA
GUGGAAAAAUGUUGGCUUUUGCAAACACGGAGGUGUUCUAAUUAAGUCGUUCGCUGUUUGUAGAAUAUGUAGAAGCCAAAUAAAAAACACGGAAACACGACGAAUCUUUCCGGCGCCGUGGGAUUAAACAACGCCGACAAUCAGGCAUGUCUAGCAGCGUUACCGCUGCAGCAGAAGGUGGCGGCACGGAUCUCUGGCUGUCUCUCUCAGUGGAUGUCCGCUCACCAUCUGAAAAUCAACCCCAACAAGACUGAACUACUACUCUUUCCGGGAAAAGAUUCUCCGACCCAGGACUUGAUGGUCAACUUGGGCAAUCAGUGUUAAUGCCCGCUUUGACUGCUAGGAACCUCGGCGUGACACUGGACAGCCAACUCUUCCUGACUGCAACAACAUGAUCCUGUAGAUACACACUCUACAACAUCAGGAGAAUAUGUCCCCUUCUCACUCAGAAGGCAGCGCAGGUACUGAUUCAGUACCUGCUAGCGCCAUUCAACCUCUGCAGUUCAUCCAGAUUGCAGCAGCUCGACUGGUCUUUCACCUUCCGAAAUUCUCCCACACUACCCCACUCCUCCGCUCUCUUUACUGGCUAGAUCACAACUCUUUGCUGUCCUUGCUCCGAAAUGGUGGAACGAGCUCUCCGAUGACACUAGGAUCGCAGAGAGCCUUCACAUCUUCUGCCACAAACUAAAGACACACCUCUUCAGACUCUGACUAAAAGACUAACAAAAAACACUACAUGGUUUAGGGCCAAAGUAUAUCACUGAUAUGCUUCCACUACAUAAGCCUUCAAGAUCACUAAGAUCUUCUGACACCAAUCUGUUAGUGAUUCCCAGAGUAAAUACAAAUCAUGGGAAAGCAUCAUUUAGUUACUACGCAACAAACAGCUGGAAUAAACUUCCUGAAGAUUUAAGACUUGCCCCAACUCUGACCACGUUUAAAACAAGACUGAAAACUUUUAUGUUCAGCUUCGCCUUCUGCAAAAUUUUACCUACAUUUUGCAUUUUAACCUCUGCCUUUAAUUAAACAAUUUAAAUAAGAUUUUAACUUAUAAUUUUAUUUGCUGUUUUUAAUUGUCUUUUAAUUCCUGCAUUUUAUUUUCACUUUAUUGUAUGAAAUGUUAUGAUGUGAAGCACUUUGAGUCUGCC